rnacentral:rRNA from 1 species
UACGAAGGGGGCUAGCGUUGCUCGGAAUCACUGGGCGUAAAGGGUGCGUAGGCGGGUCUUUAAGUCAGGGGUGAAAUCCUGGAGCUCAACUCCAGAACUGCCUUUGAUACUGAGGAUCUUGAGCUCGGGAGAGGUGAGUGGAACUGCGAGUGUAGAGGUGAAAUUCGUAGAUAUUCGCAAGAACACCAGUGGCGAAGGCGGCUCACUGGCCCGAUACUGACGCUGAGGCACGAAAGCGUGGGUAGCAAACAGG